CUUGAGUAAUUAUAAGAGGUCCAGCCUGCCCAGUGACUAAGUUCAACGGCCGCGGUAUCCUAACCGUGCGAAGGUAGCGUAAUCACUUGUUCUUUAAAUGAGGACUAGUAUGAACGGCACCACGAAGGUUAUACUGUCUCCUUUCCCUAAUCAGUGAAACUAAUCUCCCCGUGAAGAAGCGAGGAUAAGAAUAUAAGACGAGAAGACCCUAUGGAGCUUUAAACAAUGCGACAACUGCUACUAAUCUAUUUAGGCCCCAGAGUCUCUAAGUUAUUUUAGCACUUUGACGUAAGUUUUAGGUUGGGGUGACCGCGGAGCAUAAUACAACCUCCACGCUGAAAGAAUCCUAUUCUUAGCCAAGAGCUACUACCCUAGGCACCAGCACACUGUCAUCUAUUGACCCA
rnacentral:rRNA from 1 species